rnacentral:rRNA from 1 species
GGUGGUUUGUUAAGUCAGAUGUGAAAGCCCGGGGCUCAACCUCGGAAUUUGCAUUUGAAACUUGGCAAACUAGAGUACUGUAGAGGGGGUAGAAUUUCAGGUGUAGCGGUGAAAUGCGUAGAGAUCUGAAGGAAUACCGGUGGCGAAGGCGGCCCCCUGGACAGAUACUGACACUCAGAUGCGAAAGCGUGGGGAGCAAACAGGAUUAGAUACCCCCGGUAG